UACAGAGGGUGCGAGCGUUAAUCGGAAUUACUGGGCGUAAAGCGCGCGUAGGCGGCUUUUCAAGUCGAUUGUGAAAUCCCCGGGCUUAACCUGGGAACUGCAGUCGAGACUGUCUAGCUAGAGUAUGGGAGAGGGAAGUGGAAUUUCAGGUGUAGCGGUGAAAUGCGUAGAUAUCUGAAGGAACAUCAGUGGCGAAAGCGACUUCCUGGACCAAUACUGACGCUCAUGUGCGAAAGCGUGGGGAGCAAACAGGAUUAGAUACCCUGGUAGUCCACGCCAUAAACGAUGAGAACUGGAUGUCGGAGGGGUCUGCCCUUCGGUGUCGUAGCUAACGCGUUAAGUUCUCCGCCUGGGGAGUACGGCCGCAAGGUUGAA
rnacentral:rRNA from 1 species